AGGGAGAUUUAUUGGGGCUCAUGCGUAACUCACUGAAACUAUCAGUAUGUAGCAGCACUCUAUUCUGCAAGUGGAAUCGAGAGCUGUAUGGCCAGAGAAAUAGAAAACAAAUCCCAAUGCUGCCAGACCUGCUGUAGUUUUCCAGCAAUUUCUAUUUUUGUUUUUAUUUAAAGGUGUUCUCAAGGAUAAAGAGACUGGUGAGAAUGUGGAACUCGCUUCAACAGGGAGUAGUUGAAACAAGCAGGAGAGAUGUACUCAGGGGAAAUGAGCAGACCCAACUCUUUUGAUGGAUCAAGCAGCAAAGGGAUCUGGCUGUGUAUGUGCACAUGGCAUCCUAGACUUGGUCAUUAGGGGCACAAAAUACAAGAUUAACGUUAAACCUAUAUAAAAAAAACCAGUUGACCUUAACUGGAAUAUCAUGUUCAGCACUGGGCACCAAAUGUUAGGAAAGAUACAAAGGCAUCAGAGGCAAUAAAGAUUCAUGAGAAUGGGUCCAGGAAGGAGGAACUUCAGAUGUGUCAAAAGAUUGACUGUGUUCCUUGGUAAAGGUCGAGAAGAAUUUUUAGAGGUAUAUAAAAUUAAACUGCUCCCAUUGGUCCACACAGAGAAGCAGUGGGGUCAUAUGAAAAACGUUUCUUCUAAAACUCAGAUCACGGCUCAGCUUCCAGCAUAAACUGGGGGAAUGCUGCACACUCUGCUUCACAGAAACCCGGCUCAACCUAUCCAUUCCCGACUGCGCACUUCAGGCUGAUUGUCUUACCAGAGGACACUGUACGGUCCAUAUGAUGGAUCAAAAAACCAAGGGUGGAGGGAUUUGCUUUUAACUCAACAACUUGUGGUGCACAGACAUUGCAACCCUGGGCAGCCAUUCCUCCCCAAACCUUGAAUUCCUCACCAUCAAAUGUCACCACUUCUAUAUACCACAGGAAUUUACCCCUGCUAUAAUAACUGCAGUGUACAUACCGCCACAAGCAAAGGUUGAGGAAGCUCUGAAUGUGUUGUAUUGCACCACUAAUACCCUGGAGAAAGAACACCCUGAGGCCCUGUUUAUUGUAACUGGCAACUUCAAUCAAGCCAGUCUAAGGAAGGUGUGUUGUCCAAGUAUCACCAGAACAUUACCUGCCACACCAAGGGCCCAAACAUUUUCAGCCACUGCUACACCAUUGUGAAGGAUGCCUACCGCUCCAUCCUCCCACCCUCAUUUCAGGAACUCCGACCACAAUGGAGUGUUUCUUCUCCUGGCUUACAGGCAAAACCUUAAGUAGGAGAUCUCAUUGUGGAUAUAGGUCCAGUGCUGGUUGGAGGAGGAGGCACAGGAUCAACUCCGGUGCUGUCUGGAAUUGGCAGAUUGGGCCUUGUUCAAACAGGCCACAGGUACAUUGGACGAAUACCACACUACCGUCACAGACUUUAACAACAAGUGUGUGGAGGACUGCAUACCGAGGAAGUCAAUCCAGGUGUUCCCCAACAGGAAACCCUGGAUGAAU